rnacentral:rRNA from 1 species
GGUGUUGCAUGGCUGUCGUCAGCUCGUGUCGUGAGAUGUUGGGUUAAGUCCCGCAACGAGCGCAACCCUCAUCCUUAGUUACCAUCAGGUAAUGCUGGGGACUUUAAGGAAACUGCCAGUGAUAAACUGGAGGAAGGUGGGGAUGAUGUCAAGUCAUCAUGGCCCUUAUGGAGUGGGCUACACACGCGCUACAAUGGUGGCUACAAUGGGCUGCAAAGUCGCGAGGCUAAGCUAGUCCCUUAAAAGCCAUCUCAGUUCGGAUUGUACUCUGCAACUCGAGUGCAUGAAGUUGGAAUCGCUAGUAAUCGUGGAUCAGCACGCCACGGUGAAUACGUUCCCGGGUCUUGUACACAC